GUGAGGAAUAUUGGUCAAUGGGCGCAAGCCUGAACCAGCCAUGCCGCGUGCAGGAAGACGGUCCUAUGGAUUGUAAACUGCUUUUAUUUGGGAAUAAACCUCCUUACGUGUAGGGAGCUGAAUGUACCAAAUGAAUAAGCACCGGCUAACUCCGUGCCAGCAGCCGCGGUAAUACGGAGGGUGCAAGCGUUAUCCGGAAUCAUUGGGUUUAAAGGGUCCGCAGGCGGUCAUAUAAGUCAGUGGUGAAAGCCUACAGCUCAACUGUAGAACUGCCAUUGAUACUGUAUGACUUGAAUUCGAUCGAAGUGGGCGGAAUGUGACAUGUAGCGGUGAAAUGCUUAGAUAUGUCACAGAACACCGAUAGCGAAGGCAGCUCACUAGGUCUGGAUUGACGCUCAGGGACGAAAGCGUGGGGAGCAAACAGGAUUAGAUACCCUAGUAGUCC
rnacentral:rRNA from 1 species